rnacentral:rRNA from 1 species
GAUGAACGCUGGCGGCGUGCCUAAUACAUGCAAGUUGAGCGCUGAAGCUUGGUGCUUGUACCAAUUGGAUGAGCAGCGGACGGGUGAGUAACGCGUGGGGAAUCUGCCUUUUAGCGGGGGACAACAUCUGGAAACGAAUGCUACUACCGCAUAAUAACUUUAAACACAAGAUUCAAGUUUGAAAGAUGCAUUUGCAUCACUCAAAGAUGAUCCCGCGUUGUAUUAGCUAGGUGGUGAGGUAAAGGCCCACCAAAGCGAAGAUACAUAGCCGACCUGGGAGGGUGGACGGCCAAAAUUGGAAUUGGACACGGGUCAAGCUCCUACCGGGAGGAGCAGGAGGGGAUCAUCGGCAAAUGGCGGAAGGCCGGACGAAGCAAGCCGGGGGGGGGGAGGAGGGUUUCGGGUUGGAAAACUCUGUUGGUAGGGAAGGAAGAUGGUGAGAGUGGAAAGCUCAUGAAGUGACGGUACCUACCCAGAAAGCGACGGCUAACUACGUG